rnacentral:rRNA from 1 species
GAAGGCCCAGACAGCCAGGAUGUUGGCUUAGAAGCAGCCAUCAUUUAAAGAAAGCGUAAUAGCUCACUGGUCGAGUCGGCCUGCGCGGAAGAUGUAACGGGGCUAAACCAUGCACCGAAGCUGCGGCAGCGAACGUAUCACCCAAGACAACUUUACGGAGUUGACGAUUGACGGAGCGAAGCGACGUCAAAGCGUUCAUUAAAGUCGAGUUGGCUUAGGGAUACGUUCGUUGGGUAGGGGAGCGUUCUGUAAGCCUGUGAAGGUGUGUCGUGAGGCAUGCUGGAGGUAUCAGAAGUGCGAAUGCUGACAUAAGUAACGAUAAAGCGGGUGAAAAGCCCGCUCGCCGGAAGACCAAGGGUUCCUGUCCAACGUUAAUCGGGGCAGGGUGAGUCGACCCCUAAGGCGAGGCCGAAAGGCGUAGUCGAUGGGAAACGGGUUAAUAUUCCCGUACUUGGUGUUACUGCGAAGGGGGGACGGAGAAGGCUAUGUUGGCCGGGCGACGGUUGUCCCGGUUUAAGCGUGUAGGUGUGUGUUCCAGGUAAAUCCGGUUCACUUUAACACUGAGGCGUGACGACGAGGCACUACGGUGCUGAAGCAACAAAUGCCCUGCUUCCAGGAAAAGCCUCUAAGCAUCAGGUAACACGAAAUCGUACCCCAAACCGACACAGGUGGUCAGGUAGAGAAUACCAAGGCGCUUGAGAGAAUUCGGGUGAAGGAACUAGGCAAAAUGGUGCCGUAACUUCGGGAGAAGGCACG